rnacentral:rRNA from 1 species
GGUGGAGCAUGUGGUUUAAUUCAGACGAUACGCGAGGACCUUACCAAGGGUUAAAUGUAGAUUGACCGAUUUGGAAACAGAUCUUUCGCAAGACAAUUUACAAGGUGCUGCAUGGUUGUCGUCAGCUCGUGCCGUGAGGUGUCAGGUUAAGUCCUAUAACGAGCGCAACCCCUGUUGUUAGUUGCCAGCGAGUCAUGUCGGGAACUCUAACGAGACUGCCAGGGCAAACUGUGAGGAAGGUGGGGAUGACGUCAAAUCAUCACGGCCCUUACGCCUUGGGCUACACACGUGCUACGAUGGCCGGUACAGAGAGCAGCCACCUCGCGAGGGGGAGCGAAUCUAUAAAACCGGUCACAGUUCGGAUCGGAGUCUGCAACUCAACUCCGUGAAGCUGGAAUCGCUAGUAAUCGGAUAUCAGCCAUGAUCCGGUGAAUACGUUCCCGGGCCUUGUACACACCGCCCGUCAAGCCAUGGAAGCUGGGGGUGCCUGAAGUCGGUGACCGCAAGGAACUGCCUAGGGUAAAACUGGUAACUAGGGCUAAGUCGUAACAAGGUAACAAGUCGUAGAGUUUGAUCAUGGCU